ensembl:snoRNA
AUCCUUUUGUAGUUCAUGAGCGUGAUGAUUGGGUGUUCAUGUGCAUGUAUGAGAUGUGCCACCCUUGAACCUUGUUAUGAUGUCAAUACAUUACCCGUCUGACA